rnacentral:rRNA from 1 species
GACGAACGCUGGCGGCGUGCUUAACACAUGCAAGUCGAGCGGUAAGGCCCUUUCGGGGGUACACGAGCGGCGAACGGGUGAGUAACACGUGGGUGACCUGCCCUCAGCUCUGGGAUAAGCCUGGGAAACCGGGUCUAAUACCGGAUAUGACUCCAUGACGCAUGUUGUGGGGUGGAAAGCCUUGUGCGGCUGAGGAUGGGCCCGCGGCCUAUCAGCUUGUGUGGGUGAUGGCCUACCAAGGCGACGACGGUAGCCGGCCUGAGAGGCGACCGGCCACACUGGGACUGAGACACGGCCC